GCGCGCACCUCGAGGGCGCGCAAAGUUUCAGCGUAGUGGCGCGUUGCGAAGCGCACGGGUCCUACAGUGUCACCGGAGAGGUUGAGACGCAGCACAGCCACUGGUACUGCUGGUUGCAGGAUGCGCGUCACGGCCUCAUCUGGAAGCACAGGCUCCAGCUCCAGCUCCACCUCCAGCCCAGGAUGGCGGCAACUCAGCGUCGCCCAGGCUUCAUCAGGCAGAGGGGAAGCACGAGCAUCUUCGGGGCACGCGCACCUCAGUGCCAGAAGUGCAAAAGGGGAGCGAUGCGGAGCGGCUAGCAAUUCCAGCGCGGCGCGCGACAUACUAGCAAGGUGCAGUCCAAGGGCGCGCAAGUGAGGACAGGCCUCCAGUAGUUUGAGCACAGAAGUGGGCUGCACGCUGUUCACCAGUGCAUGGUUGUCCAGGAAAAGACUGCGGAGCUCGGGACAGCCAGCAGCAGCCUUAAGCACCAGAGUGUCGUCCAGCGUGUAGGGCAAGUGGCGCAGGUCGAGGUGGCGAAGUUGGUGAGCAGCUCCGCAGACUGCGUGCACAGCUCCCAGGAUGUCCUGGCCCGCAUCAAAAAGCGGUUUCUCUCCGCGGCACUCCAAGCGCAGGCCUCGGAGCCUUGGGGCUCGGCUGGCCAGAGCGGUCAGCAGCUCGGUGGCCGUUCCGCGGCUGGGCUUCUUUGAUGGCUCAUAUUCCAGCCUUAGGUUGUGAAUGUGGUCCAGGCAGGAGGACAGAUAUGGUGGCAACAAGUCUUCCAGCUCACAGUCACAACUUAUGUUAGAGCGACAUAGAAAGAAAUUAGCGGUGUCACCAUGAACUAGGAAAGAAACUUUUUUUUUAAAUU
rnacentral:lncRNA from 1 species